GGUACUCACUUUAAGAAAGAAGGAUGGGAAAAUGUGAGGAUUAGUUGAGUAAAGAGACAUGAGUCGAGUAUGAUAAAUCACAAUUGAAAAUAAGUGGGAUGCACUUAAGGAACAAUGGAAAAUAUGGAAAGAACUAAUUGAAAAAGAAACUGGUCUUGGGUGGAAUUCCAAACUUGGGACUAUUGAUGCUUCUAAAGAAUGGUGGCAUAACAAGAUUAAGAUAAAUCCAAAAUAUGCAAAAUUACGUAGAAAGGGUAUUAGUCCUGAUAUGAAAGAGAAGUUUGAUAGAAUGUUCAUGAACACUACCGCCAUUGGUGACCAUGCUUGGGCACCUUCAUCUGGUGUACUUCCAACUCAUGAUUCAUCCGAAUGUGAUGGUAUUCUACUCGACAGUGGUGAUGAUUUUGAUGAUCCUGUAUACGUACCAGAUGAAACAAUUCAAGUUACUAAAAAAUCUUGUGGGAAGCAGUUUUUAAAA